GCGAACGGCCACGUAAAGCAGUCGACGGGUGAGUGGACGGAGGUCCUGGUGAGCGAGAUGGCGAGCGCCACCUCCAUGGACGACGCCCGGCGCCGUGCCGCCAGGAUCCUCGACGCAUUCGGAGGUGUUGUUUGCUCUCGCGCCGUGCAGGUGCUCGGAGACAAGGACCGGGCGGCGCUGGACAAUGUUCGGCGGCAGAACGCCAUCCUGAAGAAGGCGGUGGUGAUCCAGCACCGGCAGCACAUGGAGGACGAGGGGAGGGGCAGGGAGCUCCAGGUGCAGGUCGCCCAGUACCGGGAGCAGGUCAGGCGGCUCGAGGCGGAUAAUUAUGGGCUGUCCAUGCACCUCAGGAACGCCGGACGCGGGGCCUCCAUGCCGGGGAACUUCCACCCAGAAGUUUUCUGA
rnacentral:rRNA from 1 species